rnacentral:misc_RNA from 1 species
GAUGAAGAACGUAGCAAAAUGCGAUAAGUAAUGUGAAUUGCAGAAUUCAGUGAAUCAUCGAAUCUUUGAACGCACAUUGCGCCCGCUGGUAUUCCGGCGGGCAUGCCUGUUCGAGCGUCAUUUCAACCCUCAAGCCCCCGGGUUUGGUGUUGGGGAUCGGCUCUGCCCUUCUGGGCGGUGCCGCCCCCGAAAUACAUUGGCGGUCUCGCUGCAGCCUCCAUUGCGUAGUAGCUAACACCUCGCAUCUGGAACGCGGCGCGGCCAUGCCGUAAAACCCCAACUUCUGAAUGUUGACCUCGGAUCAGGUAGGAAUACCCGCUGAACUUAAGCAUAUCAAUAAGCGGAGGA